rnacentral:lncRNA from 1 species
CUUCUAGUCUUCUCUUCAAACCUAAUACAGUCAGUCAGCAGGUUUGGUCUGGAUCUCCUCUCCACAGAUAGCCUUCUGUCCCACCACCUCCAGAAUGCUGCCCUGCUCAGAGAGGACUGGGUCCAGUGACCUCUACUACCCGUCAAGACAGAGUCCAGUCAUGUCUACUACCACCACAUCUAUAUGGACAGGGGACACACUUGUCCAUCAGGGUUCAAUUGCAGCCACAAGCAGCAUGGGAGGAGCCGGAGGGGAGUGGCCAGGGGUGUGUCACCUGUCAGAUGGGCGGGCUCUGCUCAGACCCCACACUGGAAGGCUUAUUGUGGAGGGAGGAAGAGGAGACACACCCACAAGACCAAAGAAGAUGAGGAGGUCCUCUUGUCUCAGCUGUCAGACCCUGAGGACAGUCUAGAUGAGAGCCUGGAGGAUGCCGUUUCACCCCAGACCUCACACACACGCAAACAGGUACCACACACACACACACAUUAUAGCUCCAAUACUACCUGGCUACUUGUGUGCAUUAUAGCUC